GACGAACGCUGGCGGCGUGCUUAACACAUGCAAGUAGAACGAAGUGGCGAACGGGUUAGUAAUACGUGGGUACCCUGCCCUCAUUUUUGGGAUACGCCUUGGAAACGGGGUCUACUACCGCAUAAAGGGGGAUGGGCUCUCGGCCUCUCAGCUUGUUGGUGGGGUGAAGGCCUACCAAGGCGGUGACGUGUAGCCGGCCUGAGAGUGUGACCGGCAAUAGUGGGACUGCGAGAUGGCCCAGACUCGUACGGGAGGCAGCAGUUGGUGAUAGUGCACAAUGGGCGAAAGCCUGAGGCGUGGACGCCGCGAGGGGGUUGAAGUUUUUCGGGUUGUAAACCUGUUUCGCUAUCGAACGGGUAGGUGGAGAAUAAGCGCCGGCUAACUACGUGCCAGCAGCCGCGGUAAUAC
rnacentral:rRNA from 1 species